AUUGAACGCUGGCGGCAGGCCUAACACAUGCAAGUCGAGCGGCGCUGGGGACGGGUGAGUGAUGCCUAGGAAUCUGCCUGUGCGUGGGGGAUAACGUCCGGAAACGGGCGCUAAUACCACAUACUAUCAGAUCAGUCUAGGUCGCAUUAGCUGGUUGGUGGGGUAAAGGCCUACCAAGUCGAAGAUCCGUAACUGGUCUGAGAGGAUGAUCAGUCACACGGGAAAUGAGAAACGGUCCAGACUCCUACGGGAGGCAGCAGUGGGGAAUUUUGGAAAAUGGGCGAAAGCCUGAGCCAGCAAUGCCGCGGGUGUGAAGAAGGUCUUCGGAUUGUAAAGCACUUUAAGUUGGGAGGCGGUACCAAAAGAAAAAGCACCGGCUAACUACGUGCCAGCAGCCGCGGUAAUAC
rnacentral:rRNA from 1 species